rnacentral:snoRNA from 1 species
CGCGGGCCGAUGAUGUGAACCAUGCUCCUACGGUCUAAACCUGUGGGGAGGAUUUCCAAACCAUAUUUCCCAAGAGCUGAGGCCU